UCUAACAUGUGCGCGAGUCACGAGGUUCUACGAAACCUAAGGGCGCAAUGAAAGUGAAGGCCGCUCUCGGUUGGCCAGGGUAGGAUCCCGUCCUCGGGGCGGGCGCACUACUGGCCCGUCUCGGUCCCGUCGUGGACGAGGCGGACGAAGAGCGUACACGUUGGGACCCGAAAGAUGGUGAACUAUGCCUGAGUAGGACGAAGCCAGAGGAAACUCUGGUGGAGGUCCGUAGCGAUUCUGACGUGCAAAUCGAUCGUCAAACUUGGGUAUAGGGGCGAAAGACUAAUCG
rnacentral:rRNA from 1 species